rnacentral:lncRNA from 1 species
CAUCACACACAAGGAAUUUUAGUAGACAAACUUUGAGCUCUCGGCCUCCUGCAGUCCAAAGAGAGUUUGGGAGAGUAGGAGAGUUUAGAAAGAAUAGAGAAGAGGAUAGAAAUUUGGGAGAGUGAGCAAGAGCUCAAGAGCUAGUGAAAGAGGGGUAGUGCUGCAAGAAUUCGUAGAGAGAACUUAGUGGAAGUGUUGUCCAACUAAGAAUUAAGAAAUCUAAUAUCAAGGGGAGGUUCUGUUGAAAUUCAAACUAGCAACUAGACUCAAUCUUGAAAGAACAACUGACCUCUAGAAGGCUAACCGCUAACCUUUGACUAACCCCUUGCACUAGUGUUGUUUUUUGUCUGUAAGCAUUUGUUUCAGGAUGAAGAGCUGGGCAAAGGGAAUCACCAAUAAUGUCUCAGGAAGGACCACAAGGAGCUCAUCCCGGUACGCCUCGUCAAGGGCCAGCUCUGACAUGAGCACCGAUCCUCUCGGCGACUCUCAACCACCAUCUUCCUCAGCUGCACAAAGGAUUCUCCUCACGGCAACUCACCUUGCCUUGAAGGAUGCAAGAGAAAAGAACAUCUACAAUAAAAUUGAAGAGGAGGAACUUCAUCCACACACCAGUCUUGGAUGAUGUAUUCCUCUGCGAAACAGGUAUGGCAACUGAACUAGACACUAUUUUCUAGUUUAUUGGUUGGAGUUCUUUUGCAUCUUUCAUUGAGUUAGGGACAAACCUUUUAGCCAUAGAAUUUCUAUGCAUCCUUCGACUCACCCAGAUAGGAGUUUAUUUUAGAUUGUUUACCUAAGAGUUCUAUUUAACAUGGAGAGUUCUUAGUAAUCUUUUAGGCUUUCCUUCAAAUACAGGUUUAGAUUUAACAGAAGCCUUAAAAGAUUUCGACACCCACAAAUUUUGGAUCAAAAUUUCUAAGGAACCUUUCUUCCAUAGCAAUCGUACUCGAGACAUAGAGCACCCUACACUUAGGUUCUUGCAUAAGUGGUUAGGAAUAGCUUUCUUCCCUCGAGAUGAUGCUAGUAAAAUUAGAGCUGUAGAUUUACAAUUAAUUUAUGCAGCAGUGAAGAAAAUAAGGGUGUCACAUGUCCAUGCUUUAGUAGAUCAUUGGUUAAGCAUUCCAGAAUAUAAAGUAGGAGAUGUAGCAAUUUGUUCCAUUAUUACUCGUUUAGCUAUUGAGCUUAAGUUACUUGAAGGUGACUCUUUGGAUUUUAUUGAUGCACAUAGACAAAUUUAUGGAUAUGAACAUUUUAAUCAUGUGCACCUUGUAAAUACAAUAAAAGGGGAUCUACACAUGACAUAUGGGGACGCCAAGCUCCGGUUACCUAACUCAGAGAUGGCACUAUAUUCUAUCCAAACUAUACAUAUUAAAUUUUAGGCACGAGCAGUGAACAGGAGAAGAGCUCAGGGGGAGACUUCUGAGAGGGCACCUCAGAGGACAGCCUCUGAGAGAUUUGCUCAUCAACACGAGCCAUUCUGGCUUGGUGCUGACCCCACUCACGAAGCACUGACGCACACCGGCUAUGACUAAUGGUAGGCACGCUAGCGCCAUGCACUGAAUCCUAGAAUGUAUUUUCCGUUCCAUCCUGCCUACCAUCCAUAUGGGUACUAUCCACCACCACCAUUCAUCCCCAUAGGAGAAGUUCCCCCAGGUGAAGCUCCAAGGCAUUCAUUCAGCACCUAUGGAGAAAGGACAGAAGACGAGGAACAAGGCUUUGAGCACGGACGAAGGUCUGAUGCUUCUGGGUUCUUCUAUACCUAGCAGCAUUACAAUGAACAAAUGGCAUUCCAAAAGUACGACCACACCUCUCUUGCUCACAAUGAGCAAAAUUGGAAUGACCAGCAUCAGUGGAACCAAACCACCACUCAGACGUUGGCCUCUAUUCAAGAAGGGCAAGACCAAGCUAAUGACACCAUUUUUGGACACGUGUCUUUUAAUGCUUACCUGGGGUUAGUAAAGAAUAGAUCGGCAGAUGAAGCAAUGGUAACUAGUUUACAGGGAAGUUGCCGAUGAAGGUGGUUGCCGAUGAGGAGACAAUUGAAUGUGACUAAGUCCAGAGGUGGUGAUCUGUUCGUGCCGAUGACCAGUAUCAAUUUUUGCCGAUGACUACAAUAGGAGGUCUGCCGAUGGCUCUAAAGAAAAGCGUGGAGAUUGCCAAUUGAUCCGCGGCGGUGCCCCGGUCGGUUACAAGGGGGUAGUUUUAUGUUUCCUUUAGUUAUUAGAAUUCAUUUUGUAUGGGUUCCGU